rnacentral:rRNA from 1 species
GAGUUUGAUUAUGGCUCAGGAUGAACGCUAGCGGCAGGCCUAAUACAUGCAAGUCGAACGGCAGCGGGUCCAGCAAUGGAUGCCGGCGAGUGGCGCACGGGUGCGUAACACGUAUGCAAUCUACCUGUAACUUAGGGAUAGCCCGGAGAAAUUCGGAUUAAUACCUAAUGAUAACCGAGACUGGCAUCAGUUUUUGUUUAAAGAUUUAUCGGUUACAGAUGAGCAUGCGUCUGAUUAGUUAGUUGGUGAGGUAACGGCUCACCAAGACGACGAUCAGUAGGGGACCUGAGAGGGCGAUCCCCCACACUGGUACUGAGAUACGGACCAGACUCCUACGGGAGGCAGCAGUAGGGAAUAUUGGGCAAUGGUCGAGAGACUGACCCAGCCAUGCCGCGUGCAGGAUGAAGGCCUUAUGGGUUGUAAACUGCUUUUGAUCGGGAACAAAGAGGCCAUGCGUGGCAAGAUGA